GCGAAGGGCUCGAAGAUGGCGGGCUGGCAGAGCUGCGUGGAGAGCCUCACGUGCGGCGGCUGCUGCCAGGAGGCCGCCAUUGUCGGCUACUACGACGCCAAAUACGUCUGGGCAGCCACGGCCGGGGCGUCUUUCAGAGCAUUACGCCAAUAGAAAUAGAUGUGAUUGCAGGAAAAGACCGGGAAGGUUUCUUUACCAACGGUUUCUCUUGGAGCGAAGAAAUGCUCAGUGAUCAGAGAUAGUGUGUACGUCGAUGGUGACUGCACAAUGGACAUGCGGACAAAGAAUCAAGGCGGGGAGCCAACAUACAAUGUUGCUGUCGGCAGAGCUGGUAGCGCAUUGGUUAUAGUCAUGGCAAAGGAAGGUGUCCACGGAGGCACACUUAACAAGAAAGCAUAUGAACUCGCUUUAUACCUCAGGAGGUCUGAUGUAAGCAGCCUCUCCCCAUCCACCUAGCAACUGUCUUCAUCAACACCCCCAAUUAUGGUCACAAUGCUACCAAACUAUAGACGGUAGCUAAUUUUUCUGUAGCUAUCUUUUAAUGUCAUGAUUCCUGUUUGCCCAGUGGAUCAUUUGUAUGUUAACCACUGUAUAUAACCAACCCUUAUCUGGCAACAUAAUUGCAGCACAAUGAUUUGCAUGAUACCUUGAAAUUGGGGGGAGGGGGCAUGCCAAGUUGGGCAUCACUUUGUCUUAGCAAUUAAUGGGAUAUUGAUUACUAAAAUAAGUUAAUAUUAAGCAAGGUGCCGGUUGUACAAUCUCUGAUCAAUGUCUUUUCAGCACUUUGAGCAUUCACUUGGCUCAUUUAGUCUUCUUUUGUAGCGCAUGGUUGGGAGGAAAAAGUGCCAGCAUCUUUCCUUCACUCUUCUCUUUUUCCCGCCCCCCGGCUCCCCCCCCCGUCCCCCCUCCCUUUGCCCAUAGGCAUUUGGUUUGCUUCCAUCUUUUUUUAUGCAGUGCCUGUUUUUUUAACCAAUUAAUAUCUCUUUUGUUGAUGAGCUAUUGAGAGCUGCAGUAGUUGCUUUUAGUAUUGCUGUUGCACUUGAGUAGAGACAAACCUUUAUUCAGUGUCUACAGGACAUAUGAAGGGUGCAAUGGCAAAACAAGAGCAAAAAGCAUUUCCUCCUAUGACCUUACAGCAAGCAUACUGAUUGAAUCCCCAGGGGCAUUCCAUCAUUACAAUAGCUCAGACUUGUGUUCCUUUUUCUUUGCACACCAGCUCUACUCUUUAGUCAAAUUGUAAAAGGCUGCCAUUAUGGACAUAAAGUAUCCCAACAUAACCGUCUGGAGUGUGUCCAGUUUGUUCUUCAUAGGACCAAUUUUUAUUUGCAGCUUGAGUUUUUAUAUGAAGUUGCAUUAUUGUGGACUUGGCUGUCUUGUGAUGAAUUGUUUUCAUAUGUAUUCUGUGCCAUAC